ensembl:lncRNA PART1 prostate androgen-regulated transcript 1
GGCUCUGGAAAGCUGAAAGGGCUGCACUGGAACAACACAGAUGAGAUAUUCUACACAUUAAUCUACUUAUCUGGAAUCACUUUGCCUCUAAAGGCCAGAGAAAAAUCACAGCUUCCUUGUCGGAGGGGAAAAGGACAGGUGAUCUGGGGAAAACGCAGCUACACCUGGAGCAAGGUCUCUUCCCGGCUUGGCAAUCUCAGCUGUGCCGGCGCUACGGGACCCGAGCCGUCCCAGAAACCAAAGGGCAGGCACGGCAGCAAACGCCUGAGGACUGAGAAGACGUCAAGGUCCAGACACUCGUCAUUAACACCUACUCACAACCGAUUCCCCCACCCACUUUGGCCUCACCAAGAUUUGGCAAGCAGGAGAAUUAAAUGUCACUUUGCUACCAUCCUCUGCUGAACCUCCAACAGAAAAACCCAUAUUGCCCAAGUACAAAGCAUGAAAUACUGCUGGCCUACCCUGACUUUUCAGCUAUUCUCCUUGCAUAUAGUAAAUGACUCCCCAGGAGACAUCAUCUUAAAGUCUGAGACACAAAAAAGGACCCAAAGUCCUAUAUGCUUGAAGAAUUGCAUGGCAAUAUAUUUAGUUAACAUUUUCUAUUUUAUUAGAAAAAACAGACAAUUCAAUUGUCGAUGUGAUCGUUUCAGGCUUCCCAGCCUCUCCUUUCUGACAUCAUCCUAUAUACUACAACCUCCACCAGAAAAGCAGUAUGGUACUGGGAAAAAGAGAUCUAAAGGCAGAACACUAGGGCUUCACUCUCAGCACUGUUAACUGAGUGACUUGACUAAGUCACUGAAAUUCACUGAAACUGCAGUUUCCCCUUCUGUCAAAGGGGGAUAACAAUAUCAGCUUCACAGGGUGCUGUGAAGGAAGCAAAUGAGAAAAUGAAACCUGCCUUGUACUUCAUGCAGGUUGAACAGAAAUGUUUUCUGAGCAUGUAUUGUUACAGCCCUCUGAGAUGGUAUAAAAGAAUGAAAGAAGACACGACCUGCCUUCCAGGAGUUUCACAAAAAAGAUGGGAUGAACACAGUGUUCACUUCCACCUUCCACCCUUUCACUAUGAAGGACCCUCACCAGAUGGUGGCACCAUGCUCUCGGACUUCCCAGCCUCCAGAACUCCAACAGGCAUUGGCAGCUACAGAGCAGGAGGCAAUUCAGCCUCUCUCCUCCACCCUGCCUCACUAGGACACAGACUGAUUGCAGCAUUUCUGCACAUUUUCUGCAGUUCUGCUUGCUCCACUUUCCUGUGAGGUCAAAUGCGGUAAAGGGAUGCUCCAACCCUACCCUCCAUGUACCUGCCUUUCCUGUGAUUCCGAAGAAGGGGUGGUUGGUUUUGCCCUCAAAGUGCCAUCUACUUAAGAAAACAGUUUCCUGCCAGCUUUAUCUGAGACCUGUGUUCCCAAGCACUCCCUCCAGGAGCCUUUGUGCACCCAUAUUUGAUCUUCACUGCAUUGAGAGCCUCUCCAAAUAUUAUCUUUUGGGAGUUAGUCUUCAAGGUUUAUCAAAUAUGAAAUUCAUAUUUCUGUCCCUGUUUUCUGGCAAAUUCUAAGGAGAAGGGUAGAAGACAUAUCUUUUGUCUGACCUUUUAAAUGGAAAUCCCAAUAUUUACAAGAGGUAAAAGGAAUUUUGAAGUAAACAUAAAGAGCAGCCUUAAAGUUGGGAAAUGUCCUAUCAGGGGAACAUAUAUCCUGCCAAUUAGUCAUGGAAGAAGGUAGAACAAUUACUUGACCUUUGCUUCAGUGGUUAGGGACCAGAAGAGCACCAUGCAGACUAUGUUCUUGCUGUGUAUAACUGUUCCCUCCCUGUGAAACUUAUUUCCCCCAACCCCUGCUUUCCGUUAUGUUUGUCCUUUAGAAUCUUUGGUACCAGCAGCAUCAGCAUCACAUGGCAGCUUAUUAGAGAUGCAGAAUUUUAGGCUCCUCCCCAAGCCCCAGAAGCAGCACAGGAAUCUGCAUUUAACAAGAUCCCCAGAUAUUCAUAUGCACAUAAAAUUUGGGAAGCACCACUGUGGAUCUCAGUUCAAGCACCAAUUUGCUUCACUGAUCAAUCACAUCAGGUUCCUGUUACGCAUACUCAUAAAAUGAUCCUUCAGAGCUCUCGCUCUGUAGCUGUGCAUUUAUUAUGAUAAUUUUUUUCCUAUUCCUGUGUAUCUCUCUCACUAAACUAGUGUCAGGCUCUAUGGCUU